ACUUAAGUCCAAGCUCCACUUCGCGGACACAGUCAGUUAAUCUCAAAAACAAAUAAAGAACAAAAACUCCUCAACGUGGGAAUUGGGGGUAAAAAAACUCAAGCGUGGGUUUUCCACAGGCUUUCUGAAGCCUCAAAUUCUUUUCGGUGUUCGUUAUGGAGCUUGAAGCUCUUUAAGGGGAAUUCAUAUUUGGUUACGCGGAUUGCUCGUUUGUUGCGUUAGUUUGGUCUUGUUAUGUUGGAGUUGUCUUUAUUCUUUUUGACAAUCAAAUUACCAUCUGAUCGAACAUUUCUGAUUGUUGAGAAAUCAAGGGUGAAAAGUUGAAUUUAGUUGGCGAAUUAUUACACUGGAAAUUAAACUAGCGAGGGAGAUGAUUUUACAUUAUAUAAGUUGCGUAUUUCCUACCUCAGUGCUUUUCGUCAUGUCGAAGUUUGCUAAUCGCCCAGUCACUCCAUUUAACGUGUUAGGAUAUGGAUACAGUUGAGGAAUGGAGAUCGAUUGACGCGGAAGCAGAAUUUUAGCAUCCCACGUCCUUUCUUGAUUUACGAUGUUGAAUUUGAUCAUUUAGUCUUUGAUUUUCUCUAGAUUUCACUUGCUUGUUGAAGAAACGAUUACAUGAAGCUAAAAAUCUUCAUCUCAGUCAUUGUUUUUUGUCUGAAUUCUCUUGUUUGUUUGAGCAUCUUUUUUAUCCCCCAAUGAUCUACAUACUAACCAUCUGAUUGAAGUCCUUAGCGAAUGGCGAAUGAAUGAUUUUGUGAAGCUCUAACUCAUGAGUGGCAUCACUAGAUCCUCGAGUAUUCUCAGCUAAGAUUUGGAAUAAAAAAUAAUGGAUCAUAUUUUCCUUUUGUUCAUUUUCGUGUGCCUAUUUGUGCUUGAAGCAAAUUAAGCUCUCUCCAUACUAUGCAGUUACUGGUGCUAAUGCCUUUGCAUAUGGAACUUUGUUAUUUCGAAAUUCUUUCGAUGUUAUCCACUAUAACCAUUUGGAUCCUCAUUGUCUUCUCUGUCCUUCGGUGCAUUAAUAACUUCCUGCAUCUUAUGUAAUGUAAUUUGCUGAAUCAGGAUCUGAGCCUGAAAUGGUUGAGUCCGAAACACCAAAUAAUCAUUCCAUGAUCAAACAAAAGGUUCACAAAUUGCUCGAGUUUCUGUAGUGAUCUGGUAUAAAAUGCUUCCCUUGGUUUGUCCAUGGAGUCAUCAUUUUGACAACAAAUUCCUUUAAAGCGUGAAGAUACUUAAAGGGAGAGAAAUAUGUAUGGAUAUCAUUCUUUAUUGCUUAAAUGAAGGCAACCUUACUGCCAAAGCAACGUAAAAGUUAAAUCGAUUCUAUGAGAUUUUGAAGGAAAGAAAUGCAUCUUGCUGACAGCAUAUAUCAAACAGUGGGCUAAAAUUGAGCUGGACGAGCACUCGAAGAUGAAAGGCCUGUCUUGGCUUGAUCUCUGUAUAUUGAUUAUUAUAAGCGCCUGUCUUGUAGACAUCCCUAGCAGUUCUUCGUGACUACACAUUAACAAAGUUAUUGCCUAUGGCAAAGGCCAGCAGAAAGAGGAAUACCCAUGAAUCUUACAUCUUGUAGUUUACAAGAUCCGGAAAUAUUCAUUUUUAAUCAAUAAAAUAUAAUCUGAGCUUUUGUGUUUCUCAUACAUAUUACAGGCGGGUUGGGAGGACAAGAAAAGAGUAGAAUGAUUCCCCGUAGUCUCUCCUGACUUAGCCAGCAAGUUACCGGUGCAAGGAAUGCUGUGUUCCGCUCUCUUCUGGAUGCAGCAUCUGUAGCUAGCACUGUUACUUCUACUGCACAAAAGCUUGGAAAGCUGAAAACACAAGACAGAUUGUUGCGUCAUCAACGAGCCAAGUGAUGGGAAAUGGUCCCUCUCCAGUCUUCUGUCAUGAAGAGGAUAAGAGAAUUGCAUGUUCCCCACUUUAAGUGAUGGGCCACUUAGGUAAGUCUCAACUAUCCCCCCUCCUUCCUAGGUUGAUUCUUAAUUUACCUACUUGUUAACUGACAGAAUUCUAACACCAAGUAAUGAUAUGUAACUCAGAAUCCUCAAUCCUGAAUAGGUGUCACAAUAUCUUUAAUUUCUUUCGAUUUUUUGUGUUAAUCAGCUUACCGAUUCAUUUUAAACCACCGAGAAAAUAAAAUCUUAAAGACAUUCUUACAAUUGUUAAAGAAGGAAAAAACUCAUUUGGAAGAUAUUUUCAACUUGUCAAAAGUGCUCUUCAACACCUCUUGUAUCAAAUCAUGGAUUUGAAUUUGAUGAAUUGAAAAAAAAAGAAGAAGGCAUUAGAAUAAUGACUCCUAUUUGAGCCAGACAAACCUUGCUAUUGAAUUCUAUUAAUCUUAGUAAUCUCAAACACUCAGUCAAAACUUGUUGACCCAAAAAAUAUAAAUUAAAAUCAAAUGAUUCGCUCCCAAACAAAGUGCUUUUAUGUUGAAACUUGAAACAGCAUAGUCUUCAAUCCCAGACAAUCUGAAUACUGCAGCAACAGCACCAAAGUGGUGUUAGUUGAGGUCAUGCAGACUGAAAAGAAACCUAGCUUCCCAUGAGCUCAUAUAUGCACUGUGAAAAGAAAACUGAAAACCAUUGUCCCUUUCUUUUGACGUUCUCAAGAUUGUGACUCCCUUUUUUUCUCGACUUCAACUAUUAAACGACAAGUAAACAGUUAAAAGACCUGCAUGCCCAUUCCCCUGUUUGUCAUCCAUUAUUAACUGGUGUUUAAAGCAAGGAUCCUGCACCCAAACCAGAAAUCAGCAAUGACUCUUCCUCAAGUAAUAAAAGCCUUUCCAUCCAAUUCCAAAGCUAGUGGAUUUGACAAGACCAUGUAUUCUUUGUGACAUUACUAUGUUGUUGAGUUCCGAGGAACAUCUACAGUAUUUAAGGUGAAUGGAUUCGGAUUCCCAUUCAGCUACAAGGAAACUUUCUUUCUCAGAGAGUUACACACUUUCUUUCAUUCAAAUGUGUAGAUUUGGUUUUGGUUCCUUUUGUUUUGUAGCGGAAUUAAUGAACAUUCAAUGGCCUCUGCAGAAUGCACAGCUGAGAACUUUGUUCUCUACUUCCUUUGUAAUUUAGCUGGAAACGAUAACUACUUUUGGGUGACAGAGACAGAUAUAAACAGAUUCUUACCCCAAGCGAGUGGUAAAGAAAAGAUAAGAACAAUAUCUCUCUCAAAACUUAUGUCAUGAUGAAUAAAAAUUAUUCAGAGAUUAUAAAUAACUAUCUUGCUGCCAUUGAUUGGUAAGUGGCUAGCUGAGACAUAAUUUACUGUGUUUUAUUUCUAAUAAAUAACUGUUGUUAAA